UCACUUUGCCAGUACAUACACUAAAACUGGAAUCAUACAGAGAAGAUUAAUAUGAUCCUUGAGCAAAGAUGACAUGCAAAUUCAUGAAGUAUUCCACUUUUUU